rnacentral:rRNA from 1 species
CCGGUAAACGGCGGCCGUAACUAUAACGGUCCUAAGGUAGCGAAAUUCCUUGUCGGGUAAGUUCCGACCUGCACGAAUGGCGUAAUGAUGGCCAGGCUGUCUCCACCCGAGACUCAGUGAAAUUGAACUCGCUGUGAAGAUGCAGUGUACCCGCGGCAAGACGGAAAGACCCCGUGAACCUUUACUAUAGCUUGACACUGAACAUUGAGCCUUGAUGUGUAGGAUAGGUGGGAGGCUUUGAAGUGUGGACGCCAGU